AGACGAGAUACAAAUUUGAAGAGGAGAAUACUACGAGAAAAUGUGAAAGGUGCAUGAAGCCUGUACUGUCAACUAUUGUGUUCAAAAUCCUGGUAUCCUAUUGAAUAUGUCAUCCAAAUGACAGAGUGGAUUUUCAUCACUAUUAUCAGCUGAAUCAUUCUAUGGGACUUUGCCAGAUCACCAACCCCACGCAUGGACCAAUCUCUCAUUCCAUCUUCUAGAGAACCUUGGAUAACCGAUUGGUGCUUUAGUGUGUUCUAAGUUUUCUAAUGCAACCUGACAGAUUUUAUGAGAAGUCAUGUCCAUUGAACAAAAAAGACAAUUACUAUACAGUCAAGGUAACCCGUUGGCUGCUGCCCUUGAAUAUCCCCUUUUACUUCAUGAAAGUGUAAACAGGCCAUCUUGAUUUGAGAGUAACUCCUUCGCUACUUAUCAUGGACUUCAUCCAUUGGUGAAAACCAAUGACAACCAGGAGGAAAAGAGUGUGCUGGUCGAACGGGGAACUUGCAAGCUAAGCCGGAAGCCUACUAUAUGAUUAAUCGUUCUCGUAAUAACUGUUCCUCAACUCUUCGCUCUUUUUCCGGUUUCUCCUUCCAAUCCCUGUCUGCAGUCAAUUAUGGCAGUUUCCCCCUGUCUUGAUUGACUCCAUGUGCGAGUUUUUAAAGCAAUUUAUCUCCCAAAUAACACAAAAGAAGUUGGUUAGGUUUGUUUUAUUUGGGUAUAAAUUGUUUUAAAACUUGUACUAAUAA
rnacentral:lncRNA from 1 species